CACUCACAGAGGUUACUAUCACAAGCAAGAAAGACCAGGGAAAGCCCACGUGUUCAUGAGAAAACUAAAGAUCUAAUUGUGGUCAGUUUAGACUUCUGUGUCUGCUCAGCAGAGAAAUCAGAAAGAAGACCAGCCACUGAGAUUUUUUCUAAUUGUAUUUUCCCUGCCUCAAUCCAAGAGAGUAGUCUGCCUUUGAGUUCCGUUGCCUCAGGGGCUAAAGAAGUGGCUUCAAGACAACCUCUCCUCCUGGCCUCUUCCCCCCCAACUCCCAACAGCCGAAACUGAUUGAGGAGAUUAUGACUGACUCAUUGCAACAAAGAGGGUGAACCAGCCAGGCCAUAGAAGUAAGAAGCAGUGACAGCAGGACCAGGAAAAUGCUGCCUUCUACACUGACCUUUCUUCACCCAGAGGGGCCUAUUCGACUGAAGGUUAGAUAACCAUCUCUUAGAGGACACUGUCAAAGAAAGAGCAGAAACAUUUAUGGAAGCUCAUCCAACUAAAGCAACUGUAAAA